rnacentral:autocatalytically_spliced_intron from 1 species
CCGUAACGUGAAGGCGACGGAAAAGAUAUAGUCUGAUUCUCUAAGAAAUUAGA